AUCACAUGCUUUAGAGUUGCAGCACAGUAAAAACUAUUAUUUUGCGAUAGUUAUCAUUAGAAAGGUGUUACGUUUUUUCUGUCAAAAAUCAUUCAACAUCACGUAAAGAGGUAUCAAGAAGAGAUCUUUGUCAAACUAAUUUCGGGCGUGAAAAAUAAAAUAAUAAUUAAGUAAAAAACGAGCGAUCAACGGAUAUGUGAGCUGCAUAUGUUAUUUUAAGUAUGUGAAAUGACUUUGUAUAAAAAGUCACCUUGAUAAAGACUUUGAUAGCAGUGAAGUAUUUAAUUUAGUCCAGUUCAGGCUCAACUAACCAUCAAGCACACAUCUAUCUCUUUGCAAAAUGAAGCUCCUCUUACUGAUUCUCCUCGCUUGCAUCGUGCUGAUAAAUGUUGUACAAUCAGCUCCUUUGCAAGAAGGUGUCUUAGGUGAAAUGGCUCAAAGUGAUACUUACAACCCAUAUGAAUCUAGUUCAUUUUUGAAACUCUGGCUUUUAAAAAAGAAGUUGUUUUUCCUGGGUUGAAGAGGAACCGAAUUUAUGAUGUUGCUCAUGUACAUAAUUAUCUACAUUAUAAAUAUCUAAAAAACUAAUUUUAUUUAUAAGACACCAUUCAUUUACACUAAGUAAUAAUAGUUUUU